GUAGGUGGCAAGCGUUGUCCGGAUUUAUUGGGCGUAAAGCGAGCGCAGGCGGUUCUUUAAGUCUGAUGUGAAAGCCCCCGGCUCAACCGGGGAGGGUCAUUGGAAACUGGAGAACUUGAGUGCAGAAGAGGAGAGUGGAAUUCCAUGUGUAGCGGUGAAAUGCGUAGAUAUAUGGAGGAACACCAGUGGCGAAGGCGACUCUCUGGUCUGUAACUGACGCUGAGGCUCGAAAGCGUGGGGGAGCAAACAGGAUUAGAUACCCUGGUAGUCCACGCUGUAAACGAUGAGUGCUAAGUGUUGGAGGGUUUCCCGCCCUUCAGUGCUGCAGCUAACGCAUUAAGCACUCCGCCUGGGAGUACGACCGCAAGGCUG
rnacentral:rRNA from 1 species